rnacentral:rRNA from 1 species
UUUAUGGAGAGUUUGAUCCUGGCUCAGGAUGAACGCUGGCGGCGUGCCUAAUACAUGCAAGUCGAGCGAACGGACGAGAAGCUUGCUUCUCUGAUGUUAGCGGCGGACGGGUGAGUAACACGUGGAUAACCUACCUAUAAGACUGGGAUAACUUCGGGAAACCGGAGCUAAUACCGGAUAAUAUUUUGAACCGCAUGGUUCAAAAGUGAAAGACGGUCUUGCUGUCACUUAUAGAUGGAUCCGCGCUGCAUUAGCUAGUUGGUAAGGUAACGGCUUACCAAGGCAACGAUGCAUAGCCGACCUGAGAGGGUGAUCGGCCACACUGGAACUGAGACACGGUCCAGACUCCUACGGGAGGCAGCAGUAGGGAAUCUUCCGCAAUGGGCGAAAGCCUGACGGAGCAACGCCGCGUGAGUGAUGAAGGUCUUCGGAUCGUAAAACUCUGUUAUUAGGGAAGAACAUAUGUGUAAGUAACUGUGCACAUCUUGACGGUACCUAAUCAGAAAGCCACGGCUAACUACGUGCCAGCAGCCGCGGUAAUACGUAGGUGGCAAGCGUUAUCCGGAAUUAUUGGGCGUAAAGCGCGCGUAGGCGGUUUUUUAAGUCUGAUGUGAAAGCCCACGGCUCAACCG